AGCGAACGCUGGCGGCAGGCUUAACACAUGCAAGUCGAGCGGGCGUAGCAAUACGUCAGCGGCAGACGGGUGAGUAACGCGUGGGAACGUACCUUUUGGUUCGGAACAACACAGGGAAACUUGUGCUAAUACCGGAUAAGCCCUUACGGGGAAAGAUUUAUCGCCGAAAGAUCGGCCCGCGUCUGAUUAGCUAGUUGGUGUGGUAACGGCGCACCAAGGCGACGAUCAGUAGCUGGUCUGAGAGGAUGAUCAGCCACAUUGGGACUGAGACACGGCCCAAACUCCUACGGGAGGCAGCAGUGGGGAAUAUUGGACAAUGGGCGCAAGCCUGAUCCAGCCAUGCCGCGUGAGUGAUGAAGGCCCUAGGGUUGUAAAGCUCUUUUGUGCGGGAAGAUAAUGACGGUACCGCAAGAAUAAGCCCCGGCUAACUUCGUGCCAGCCGCCGCCGUAAC
rnacentral:rRNA from 1 species